AGCCGACUCGCAUCAAAAUAAUGCAUUUGAUUCGAAGAAGUAAAAUAGAAAGGAGGUGCUCCAGUUGAUGCUGAAGCCAUACGCUAUGAGCAUUUGUUGGAUGAGGCUGUGCAAAUUCGCCUACAAGACAUGCCUGAGUGAACACAAGCAAUAGAAGUGCAUGAGGAUGCAUUUCGUGAUGUAUUCGGAACUGAGCAUUCUGGUCGAGUUCGAUGUCUAGGAGCAGGAGCACUGCCUAGCCAAGUCUUCCCUGAACAAUGCAAACGUAGCUCAUUCUACAAUAGGCAAAACUAUCACUCCACUACGGAUAUCAUAGAUAAAUUCAAAGCAAUGCAAGAACAAAUGAACAAAGAUAUGGAGAUGCGUGAAUCACAAUUGCGAGCAGAAAUGGAGGCGCAAAAAGCACAAUUUCAAACAAAAAUGGAGCAAAUGAGACAAAUGCAAGAUCAGUUUGAAAGUUUUACACGUGUUAUGCAGAGUAUGAUACAUGGAACUGUUGGAGGAUCUAAUGGACAUGAAUUG